CCCUGCAGCCUCGCUGCUCAAUCCUCUGCCAUUUAGGAGUUAAAUCACUUUGUUUAUGAACCCUAGCCACACCUCCCUGCAUGUGACUUGCACAGCCUUCCAUAAACACUUCCUGUAAAGAGAGCCCUUUUAGGCUUUCUUUAUUGCAAGUUCUGUUUAAUUAAGAUUUUCUUAUCCCCUGCUAUGUUAAUAGCUUGCUAGACACUGCAAGAGCCUCCUGUAUGUGAUUAAAGUUCAAUUUAGAGAUUGAGAUACAAUUAUUUAAGGUAAAUUACAUCUGUUUGAAAGUGAAACCAGUUUUUUUUUCAUGCAGGCUCUGUCAAUAAUAG